rnacentral:rRNA from 1 species
GACGUAGGGGGCGAGCGUUGUCCGGAAUUACUGGGCGUAAAGAGCACGUAGGCGGAUGCUUAAGUCAGGUGUGAAAGACCGCAGCUCAACUGCGGGGUGGCACUUGAAACUGGACAUCUUGAGGGCAGGAGAGGAAAGCAGAAUUCCUGGUGUAGCGGUGAAAUGCGUAGAAAUCAGGAGGAAUACCGGUGGCGAAGGCGGCUUUCUGGACUGACCCUGACGCUGAGGUGCGAAAGCGUGGGUAG